UACGAAGGGGGCUAGCGGUGCUCGGAAUUACUGGGCGUAAAGCGCACGUAGGCGGCUUCUUAAGUCGGUGGUGAAAUCCUGGAGCUCAACUCCAGAACUGCCUUCGAUACUGGGAAGCUCGAGUCCGGGAGAGGUGAGUGGAACUGCGAGUGUAGAGGUGAAAUUCGUAGAUAUUCGCAAGAACACCAGUGGCGAAGGCGGCUCACUGGCCCGGUACUGACGCUGAGGUGCGAAAGCGUGGGGAGCAAACAGG
rnacentral:rRNA from 1 species